rnacentral:rRNA from 1 species
UACCUGCGCCACAAGUGGCAAUCGCGUUUAUUGGGCCUAAAGCGUUCGUAGCCGGAUCAAUAAGUCUUGGGUGAAAUCGUUGCGCUUAACAAAACGGCGUGCUUGAGAUACUGUUGAUCUAGGGACCGGGAGGCGUCAAGGGUAUUCCUGAGGGAGCGGUAAAAUGCAAUAAUCUCAGGAGGACCACCUGUGGCGAAGGCGCUUGACGAGAACGGGUUUGACGGUGAGGAACGAAAGCUAGGGGAGCAAACCGG